rnacentral:misc_RNA from 1 species
GAUGAAGAACGUAGCGAAAUGCGAUACGUAAAGUGAAUUGCAGAAUUCAGUGAAUCAUCGAAUCUUUGAACGCAUAUUGCGCUCUCUGGUAUUCCGGAGAGCAUGCUUGUUUGAGUAUCAGUAAACACCUCAACUUCCAUAUCUUUUUUGAAAUGGGAGUUGGACUUGAGUGAUCCCAACGCUUUUCCUCACCGAAAAGUGGCGGGUUACUUGAAAUGCAGGUGCAGCUGGACUUUUCUCUGAGCUAUAAGCAUAUCUAUUUAGUCUGCCUAAAAAACAGAUUAUUACCUUUGCUGCAGCUAACAUAAAGGAGAUUAGUUCUUGUGCUGACUGAUGCAGGAUUCACAAAGACAGGCUUCGGCCGACUUUGUAAACUCGAUCUCAAAUCAAGUAAGACUACCCGCUGAACUUAAGCAUAUCAAUAAGCGGAGGA